rnacentral:rRNA from 1 species
UACGUAGGGGGCAAGCGUUGUCCGGAUUUAUUGGGCGUAAAGAGCUCGUAGGCGGCUUGGCAAGUCGGGUGUGAAAACUCCAGGCUCAACCUGGAGAUGCCACUCGAGACUGCUAUGGCUAGAGUCCGGUAGGGGACCACGGAAUUCCUGGUGUAGCGGUGAAAUGCGUAGAUAUCUGGAGGAAUACCGGUGGCGAAGGCGGCAUCCUGGACCGGUACUGACGCUGAGGUGCGAAAGCGUGGGGAGCAAACAGG